UCUCUUCCCUAUAAAUAACCACGCCUCAGGUUCUCCGCUUCACAACACAAACAUUCUCUCCAUUUGUCCUUGAAUAUAAUACUCAGCAUGGCUAAGCUUGUUCUUUCCCUUUGUUUUCUGCUUUUCAGUGGCUGCUGCUUCGCUUUCAGUUUCAGAGAGCAGCCACAGCAAAACGAGUGCCAGAUCCAACGCCUCAAUGCCCUCAAACCGGAUAACCGUAUAGAGUCAGAAGGUGGCUUCAUUGAGACAUGGAACCCUAACAACAAGCCAUUCCAGUGUGCCGGUGUUGCCCUCUCUCGCUGCACCCUCAACCGCAACGCCCUUCGCAGACCUUCCUACACCAACGCUCCC
rnacentral:misc_RNA from 1 species